AAAAAAAGAGUUUUGGAAAUUUGAAAACUACUAACAGUCAAUCAAUAUGAUUUUAAAUCAAUCAAAUAAGAAAGCUUUCAAUAUGAUAUUUACAAAUACCUACAUCAAACUUUGAGAACGAAAUAGACAACUUUGUGAUAUGGCAACUAUUUACAGAAUGAAGAGAAAUUUUUGAAUUACUGAUUCUUAUUUAAAAAUGAAAAUUCACGAGUACCAUGUUGAUAGGUAUCGCAAGUUAAAAGAGAUUUCAAGUCGUAUUAUAUCACAAGAGACAAUGGGAAUCCGAACUGGUCAAAUUCAACAACUGUGAAGUUCGUAAUGCAUAGGAAAAUAACUCACGCAGACAGGGACAGUUGGAUAAUAUUUUCUGAAUCUGUUUUGAAUAACAAUUCAUGAAUUUCUUCAAAUUCUAAUACAAUUUAUGUGAUAAUGUUAUCCAUAGGAAAUGUUUGUGAUAUUGCUGUUAUGCU